GACGAACGCUGGCGGCGUGCUUAACACAUGCAAGUCGAACGGAAAGGCCCUGCUUUUGUGGGGUGCUCGAGUGGCGAACGGGUGAGUAACACGUGAGUAACCUGCCCUUGACUUUGGGAUAACUUCAGGAAACUGGGGCUAAUACCGGAUAGGAGCUCCUGCUGCAUGGUGGGGGUUGGAAAGUUUCGGCGGUUGGGGAUGGACUCGCGGCUUAUCAGCUUGUUGGUGGGGUAGUGGCUUACCAAGGCUUUGACGGGUAGCCGGCCUGAGAGGGUGACCGGCCACAUUGGGACUGAGAUACGGCGCAGACUCCUACGGGAGGCAGCAGUGGGGAAUAUUGCACAAUGGGCGGAAGCCUGAUGCAGCAACGCCGGGUGCGGGAUGACGGCCUUCGGGUUGUAAACCGCUUUCGCCUGUGACGAAGCGUGAGUGACGGUAAUGGGUAAAGAAGCACCGGCUAACUACGUG
rnacentral:rRNA from 1 species